rnacentral:rRNA from 1 species
UACAGAGGGUGCGAGCGUUGUCCGGAAUUAUUGGGCGUAAAGAGCUCGUAGGCGGCUUGUUGCGUCGGUUGUGAAAGCCCGGGGCUUAACCCCGGGUCUGCAGUCGAUACGGGCAGGCUAGAGUGUGGUAGGGGAGAUCGGAAUUCCUGGUGUAGCGGUGAAAUGCGCAGAUAUCAGGAGGAACACCGGUGGCGAAGGCGGAUCUCUGGGCCAUUACUGACGCUGAGGAGCGAAAGCGUGGGGAGCGAACAGG